AUGACUGGCACUAUUCCCACGCACGCCUGCAGUUGGCUGAUAAUUCAUUUCCCUCCGUUUUCAGGUAAAGAGGAAGCAGGUGCCAAAGGAAAGAAUGACAACGGUUCCGCGGCGAGCGAGGGGAACGACGUGCCGAUGGAAAGCCAGAACCCAGAUGACGAUGGAGGAAAUGAGGAAGAAGGUCAAGACCAAGAUAUGACUGAGAGCAGAGAUCUCAGCGGCAAAGAUGAAGACAAGGAUGAAGACAAAGGCACGGACAACGAUAUAAACAAGGAAGCAGUCAAAGAGGAAGAGCAAGCCCCUGCACAGAAAGCAGACGACAACCUAGCCGAGCCCACUGUGUCCAUGGAAGUUGCUGCAAAUAACACUGACACCAGCAAUGACGAGGAGAUGAAAGAUUCUGUCAAGAGCGCAGAAGAACCCGACUCCAUUCCGACUGUCAGCAUUCAGCCCAAAGAAACUACUGAGGAUGCAGAGAAGAAGGAAUGACCGGCUGAGGGGAAGACAAUCAACCUCAUCUGACAGCCAACAAACUGUGCGAAGGCCAACCGCACUGGUGUCAGUCUGGCGUCUGACACUGGCCCAGGAAAAACCAGUUUCUCACACGAUGCUCACAUUCCCGACUUUACUUUUCCCGUCUUUGUUAAGAAUCGACUCAUCCCUGAAGUAUGUAUGUGCUGUAUAUGUAUGUAUGUACAAAAGCUUACUCUAGGACUUGAACAUAUCAAUCAGAAAAGACGAGCCAUACCUCACUGUGCGUUAGCGUCAUUCGCCCUCUCCCCAGCUGACAAUCCAGGUUCUGAUCCAUUUACUGUGAGCGCAUGGCUGCUGCUGCGUUGCCAGGACAACCGCCACAGCCCCUACACGUCGACACCCGAGGCUGGGUGACGCUCCGCGUCACACGUCCUUUCGUUCUCCACACAACAAACACAGUGAUGAUGACAUCCCACCUGACAACACCUGCAUUUAGACGCAUCCUCAGAGAGUAACACGCCGACACCUGCCAUGUCUCCACACGCGCUGCAGCAGCUCGGCCCUGCUCCUCCGUCAGAACCCACGCGGCCCGUGAGGCGGGCGCCUCGGUCCCGCCCGCUUUAUCCUAAUGGUGUUCCGCCGCCCGCUGCUUCUCUAACCGCAGCAGGAAGCUGUUCUUCAGCACAGAGGAUGUGUGGUCUUUUAACAAACACACUCGUUCCUUCCUCCCUCCUCACCUGCUCUUCAGUGCAUGCCGGAAAAAAAAUUGCUCUGAACGUCACAGACAUAAACGGGAAUUAUGGUCUCCAUCGCUUUCGCUUGUCUCCUUACCAGAUAAUCUAUAACUGUAUUGAAAGAAAAUUUGCCUUAUUUCAUAUCAAACUACAAAAAGCGCGCUCACAGACGUACGGUGAUGGUCCAGGUAUGAGUUCUUGGUUGGGUUUUGCUUGCAGAUGAUUUGUAAUUUUCAUUACAUCAUAUAAUGGCUAAUACCUGUUGUUAAUGAUUUGUUUUUCUCCUCGGUUGAUUUAGAAAUGGGUUUGGCUCCUUUUUAAAUGUUGUUAUGAUUAAUGAAUAAUUUUCAGUGGUGCCACACUAAAGAUCAGACGACUUACAGUUCUAUGAAAAGAUGCCUUCAUACUUUGAUGUUUGCUUUGCUAAACUAUAACGAAUAAAGUUUAAGGUGAAAGCUUUGAUUGCA
ensembl:lncRNA